CACGGUUACACAGCAUGACAGCAACAGAAUCCUUCUCCCCAACACAGGGACUUAUCUGUAGUGGGAGUAUGGGAAGACAAACCACAGCCAUCCACUCCCACCAGAUGCACGGUGCUCUUUGCGUUUUCUGAGGAGGGAGGAAAUGACUCUGAGAAGAGCUGGAAGUGUGAGGAAAAGCCUCCUAGAAAAGGAGGAGCAGCAGAUGGCUCAGCGGGUCAAGCCACUUCCUGUGCAAGCCUGACAACUUGAGGUUCAAGCCACCAGGGCCCAACUAAAGAUGGAAGGAGAGAACUGACCUCAUAGCGCUGCCCUCUGACCUCCAUGUGGCAUGCCAUGAGUACCCCCACACACACACAAUACUGAGGGAAAGUCUUAAAAAUUAUCAAGAAAAGAGAACGAGGAAGGGCAGAUGGCCUUCUCUGGCCUCCAGCAGACUGUGCUGCUAGCUGGUUAGAUCGCAUUUGGGUCACAGUGCUGUCUUCUUUGAUGCUCCUUGCGGACCUAAGGGCCAUCUUCAUUGUUUCACUCUUGAUCAGCUAAGCCUCUCCAAGCCACACUCCGCAGUUCCUCUCACUGUUUCCCACCAGGCCAGGGAGAGGCCUUCUUCUCUAGUCUGUUUUGCCUCCUGACUAUGCUACAGAGUGGUGUCUGUAGCACCUUCAUGCGUGCCGCCCUCAGGGGAUGCUAAGUCCCUGUUCUAGAAACCUGACUUCCCAACUCUGUAUGGCUCCAGCCCAAGAACUGGUGGACUUGUUUGGUAAGCCCCAUCUAUCACUGGUGCCUGCUUCCCUCUACUCCCUGGGCUCACCUGCUUUCUGUUUCCUGUCUAUGUUGUGGGCUGUUAUAAACUGGAGGAUCACAA